AUCAGCCUUUUGGGUGUGAUUUUGUGGAGCGUGAGGAGUUAAACGCCUUCAUGCCUGCAUAUUCGUGCACUUUGGGUGUACUUGCCCGUGUGGUUGGUUAACAUCAAUUUUGGUUAUCAUAAAAUGACUGGAGGAAUGUAGCUUCGAUCUCGUAUUGAAGUGUUAUAGCCUUCGGUAGAUGUGAUGAUCGAGAUUGAGGAUUGCAACGGAUACCCUUCGGGGCUACCUGUCUGGUCUCUGAUCGUUGCUCUGGUGCCGAAAGCUUGCUUACGGUUAUCAAAGUCGAUGGUCAAUAGGUUAGAACGGGUUAAAUUCGUUAAGGAUGUUGACGUAAUGGCUUU
rnacentral:rRNA from 1 species